GACGAACGCUGGCGGCGUGCUUAACACAUGCAAGUCGAACGGAAAGGCCCUGCUUUUGUGGGGUGCUCGAGUGGCGAACGGGUGAGUAACACGUGAGUAACCUGCCCUUGACUUUGGGAUAACUUCAGGAAACUGGGGCUAAUACCGGAUAGGAGCUCCUGCGGCAUGGUGGGGGUUGGAAAGUUUCGGCGGUUGGGGAUGGACUCGCGGCUUAUCAGCUUGUUGGUGGGGUAGUGGCUUACAAAGGCUUUGACGGGUAGCAGGCCUGAGAGGGUGACCGGCCACAUUGGGACUGAGAUACGGCCCAGACUCCUACGGGAGGCAGCAGUGGGGAAUAUUGCACAAUGGGCGGAAGCCUGAUGCAGCAACGCCGCGUGCGGGAUGACGGCCUUCGGGUUGUAAACCGCUUUCGCCUGUGACGAAGCGUGAGUGACGGUAAUGGGUAAAGAAGCACCGGCUAACUACGUG
rnacentral:rRNA from 1 species